UACCCAGAGCAGAGGCCGCCCCCCACCUCACCACCACCUCCUCUCAGCUGUAGGGUCUCUCCUGGGCGCUGUGCUGUGCUGCAGACGGACCCAUCCCGUUCCCCCAUUGCUCCCCAUGAGGCCUGGGGGGGCGCUGGGCUGUGGGUGAAUGGCGUUGUCUCUGGCAGCACAUACAGCAAGGUAACGUGGAGAAAGGGAGGCUCAGAACUGUGGAAAAUUGUCAUAUUUGAAGUUCAGAACUAAAGUCAAUCUGGUUUUCCUGCAGGUGUUAGCAAAUAUUACAGAGCAGUUUAUUUGUAUGCAGUUUUGCUUGUUUUUCUCACCAUUUUUAUCCACUGUAAUAUUUCACAUCAUAGAAUCAUAGAACUCAAUCACUGAGGCUGGAAAGGACCUCUGAGAUCAGCAAACAACUGAUGGCCAAAGCGCACACGAGAGUUUCUGCAAACCUCCACUUGCAAGGAGUGCUGUCCUCGUUACUCACUUGUUCUAAUUGUGAGGUGUUGGAAAUAUUUGUGUUGCUGUAUUUGACUCGUGUCAGGCAGAUGAGGAAGAUCAAUGGGUGCCUGGGCAGUCUGACCUGGUGGCUGGCAGCCCUGCCCACAGCGGGGGGUUGGAACUCAAUGACCAACCCAACCAUUCUAUGACUAUCAUUAUUUGAAUGUGAGCUUUUAAUUGCUAUCAUUUCAGAUCAAAUGCCAAAUCUUUGGUGUUUGUGAGGAACAAAUGCCCAACAGCCAUCCCAUGGUAUGUCAGUGCUUUGUCUGACUGUAGUGUGAAGGUGUUGCUCAGGACCAGGGACACGUGGAGCUAUCGGUAAGGCUGUGAUUUCUUCUCCUCUGAAUUUGUACAGAGGGAUGAAGGGUGACCUCAUUGCAGCCUUCCAGGACCUACAGGGAGCCUCCAAACAGGAGGGGAGGCAACUGGGGAGUUGCUCUUUACAAAGUGGUCUGCAGGGCACUGCUGCCUUCAUGUCACUUGAACACAAAGCUGAUGGAAAGGGGAAUGCCUAAAGAUCAAAAGCCAAAUCUUUGGUGUUUGUGAGGAAAAAAAAUGCCCAGCAGCCGUCCUGCAGCACAUCAGUGCUUUGUCUGACUGCAGUGUGAAGGUGUUGCUCGGGACCAGGGACACUUGGACUGGUUGGUGCUACACACUCUUAGGCUACACCAUGAACAGCCUUCAUUUUCCCCUUAAGGAAUGCUGACCUUCCAGCUUCUUCCCACUGCUCCCUGUACCAAGGAGACACUUUGUUGAUGCGAGGAGUGGUGAGCAUAUUGAAGACUGACAGGAGAAAUCACUUUGUGUCUCAAAGCACACACUGGGCCCAGCAGUCCUUGGUGGUGACUGGCAGCCUGGAGACGUCAGGCAGCAUCAGGACCCACUGGCUGCUGUGUUGCUGUGACCUCUGGAACGAGCAAACAGCUCCCACCUUCCUCCUCCAUCCCAGAGCGCCCUGCAGGAGCCGCUGUUCUCUUGUACAGCUCUGUAAGAUGUGAGCAAGCAGAGGAGCAGCACCUUGAAGGAACAUCCAGACACAGCCUUCCUGCUUCCUGACCUCAGCACAGGGAUGCUGAUCUCUGCAAUGCCCUGUCCUUGUCCCCAGGCUCCUCCAGCCCCUUCUUCCAGCCCAGCCCUUCUCACUUGCAGCUCAGCAGUGGUGAGUUAAAAGAAAACUGUGGCAAAUUAAUCUGAAAAGGGAGAGCAGCCUUUGCAGUAGCUGAGGAAUACCUCUCUUAUCUGCACUGUCUGAGGCUGCAGAGCCACUGGGAAUUCAGAUUGGUCUUCACGUCUGAUGCGCUGCUGGGAAAUGCAUUCUGGAUGUUGAGUUUAAACAUGUCUCCAGAGGCAGCACUUGGCUGGCUGGGUGCCUGCUGCACUGCUUCCCAGCUACAUCACUUGGGUCUGGAUUUAAUACCGAGUACAUUCUACUGGUUCCUUUUUAUAGCAGCUGGCAAUAAACACAUCAUGUUACGGCUUUAUUUUGGCUACAGAUUAAUUGUAGAGAAUGUAAUUGCUUCCCCAUUUGAAGCCAGGGGGAAGCCCACAGAGUAGGUCAUCAGCUUCUUGGAGCAUCACCUGGGAGAUGGUCUUUAACAUUUGUUUGUUUUUCUAUAAGUAGGUGAGGAUUAAAAAUCAAAAGCAUCCUGCAACAACUACUCCUCUACCUAGGAAAGCACCAAGUCACUCCUGGUUCUACCGCUGUGAUGAGCAAAGGAAACCUUGAGGGAUAGGUUGGGACUUGUUACACUUACCACUGCUCCCUUCCUCUUUUAGCUAGUAGGCAAUUAUCAGAUCCGAUCAACAGAAACAGACCUUUCCCAGAGCACAGCUCUUGUGCAGUGUUCUGCAGGUUUGGCCAACUGCACGCCUUCGGUGCUUCAGAUCCAUCUCACGGUGUUCAGUGUGGCACUCGUGAAUCUUCACUGGGCCCUUCACUGUCCAGGAGGGGACAAUGGGCUGAGCUCUUCCAUCGAGCCUGCAGUCCCCAUUACACCGCUUUCACUCCCAGCAGCUAUUCAGUUCCUGAGUUCUAUAGUUCCUGCAUUUACUGCCUCCCAUGCAUGGGCUGUUCUCCCUCUCUGAUGCAUAGAAAUGUUGAGCUAAACUAUGAGUUGGCAGCUUGGAAGCUUUUCUUUCAGGUACAAUCUCUGCUUCCUAAGCAGGUUUUUGAGGAUGUGUCUAUUGCAGCUUUCAGCACAUCAGUGACAAUCACAGCCAACCUCAUGGUCACUGAGAACUUCAGUUUGCUGCUUGGCCUCUUUGCCUGGAAACAACAGGAUCUUUGUUUGAGAAUGGAGCAAACAAGAUGUGACACUGUGGAGGCUUUUCAGCUUAAAGGGACCACUUCCAUCCCGGAACGCCGGUCUCAUCCCAGCUCUGCAGGCAGCCACAGCACGUGGGCCUUUUUGGAAAUGCACCUGAAGACCGUUCUGGGAUCCUUCCAUCCCACGCUUCCUGGCAGGCUGCUCCAGAGCCUUCCUCCUGAGGUUGUGAGUGCUGACUUCUAAACGCUGGGAUGUUCCCACUCGUCUCCACAGCAGUACCCCUCACACUCAGAAAGGUGGUGCUCUUGCAUAUUUUUACUCUUUUUUCUUCCUUCCUUUGUAAGGCUAAAUCAGUAAAGCUCCUCAAGCCUAAUGAAACAGCAGGUUUUUACUCUUUGCAGUACUCUUAAGAAGUGAUAAAUAUUGCCUGGAUUUAAACGUUACUGCCAGUCACGUUUGUUGUUGCAGUGAUCUCAAGCUCGUGUUGUCUCUGACAGCUGAAGGACAGCAGAGCUCCAGGAACUGAAGCCUUUCAGUCAAGUGAACUCUAAAGUAAGAAAACAAUCGUAUUGGUUUGUCUCAAUCAUCUGUGGCCAUUCUGAGAACGUGCAAAUGGCUCAUUAGCAGUUGUAGUGCUUACAGCAGUUAUUAAAUUCUGCUGGGCCAGUAGGCAAAGUCAAACUGUGUUGCAGUUGCAGAUGAAGUUGGUGCAAAGCAGCAGGGAUGAGGGCUGCAGUGGUGUGUCAGCUGUGGGUCACCACUGCGAGCUGCCUGCACAACAAAGCCUGUAAUUUAAUGCCCUUGGCAGUUAUUUGUGCAUCAGUAUCUCAUGAUGCAGGCUGACAAAAACAUUUCCAAUUCAGAACAUAAGAAAAAGUAUAAAAAUGGGAGUGAUACCACAUGUCUGUGCUGGUUCCCAGUCACUCUGAAUGGGUUAGAUGGUGCUUAUCUCAAUUUCAGAACAGUAAGCUUGGCCUGCAGGGUGGAUUUCAUGCUCUAAGUAUGCAGACAAAACUCUUCCUGGUUGGAGGAUAAUUCUGAUGAGUUCUCGAGUCACCAAUCCAAGAAUGGAGGUGUGGAAGGAGCCCAAGGGGAGCAGCUGCUUCCAUCAGUGAGGGAGCAGGUACUGAUCUCAUGAGCAGACACAGAAUCACACAGAAUCAUAGAGUCAUAGAGUGGCUUGGGUUGGAAGGGACCUCAAGGACCAUGGAGCUCCAACCCCCCACCACAGGCAGGGCCACCAACCUCCCCAUUUCAUAGCAGCCCAGGCUGCCCAGGGCCCCAUCCAACCUGGCCUUCAACACCUCCACG
ensembl:lncRNA